UACGGAGGAUGCAAGCGUUGUUCGGAAUCACUGGGCUUAAAGAGCGUGUAGGUGGGGUGUCAGGCGUCGGGUGAAAUCCCUCGGCUCAACCGAGGAACUGCCUGGCGAACCGACAUUCUUGAGGCAGGUAGAGGUGGCUGGAACGACAGGUGGAGCGGUGAAAUGCGUAGAUAUCUGUUGGAACGCCGGCGGCGAAAGCGAGCCACUGGGCCUGUCCUGACACUGAGACGCGAAAGCGUGGGGAGCAAACAGG
rnacentral:rRNA from 1 species